GACGAACGCUGGCGGCGUGCUUAACACAUGCAAGUCGAACGGUGAAGCGCCUUCCUUUUUGGUGGGUGUGGAUGAGUGGCGAACGGGUGAGUAACACGUGAGUAACCUGCCCCCUUCUUCUGGAUAACCGCAUGAAAGUGUGGCUAAUACGGGAUAUUCUGGGUCUGUCGCAUGAUGGGUCUGGGAAAGAUAUUGUUUCGGUGGGGGAUGGGCUCGCGGCCUAUCAGCUUGUUGGUGGGGUGAUGGCCUACCAAGGCGGUGACGGGUAGCCGGCCUGAGGGGGUGGACGGUCACACUGGGACUGAGACACGGCCCAGACUCCUACGGGAGGCAGCAGUGGGGAAUAUUGCACAAUGGGCGCAAGCCUGAUGCAGCGACGCCGCGUGAGGGAUGGAGGCCUUCGGGUUGUGAACCUCCUUCGCCAGUGAAGCAGGCCUGCCUCGUUUGUGGGUGGGUUGACGGUAGCUGGAUAAGAAGCGCCGGCUAACUACGU
rnacentral:rRNA from 1 species